rnacentral:rRNA from 1 species
GUCCAGACUCCUACGGGAGGCAGCAGUGGGGAAUAUUGCACAAUGGGCGAAAGCCUGAUGCAGCAACGCCGCGUGAGUGAUGAAGGCUUUCGAGUCGUAAAGCUCUUUGAUCAGGGAUGAUAAUGACAGUACCUGAAAAACAAGCCACGGCUAACUACGUGCCAGCAGCCGCGGUAAU